AUAAGGAAGCAGGGGGGCUAGAAAAGACUGGGGACGCCUGUGUGUAAAGUGAAUUGCUGGGAGGGGGCAGCAUGGAGUUGAGUGAGGGGUAGAUCUGUAAAAAAGAUAGAGUGGUGAGGUGGGCCUGAGGUGAAAGGGGAUGGUAGUGAGGAUUAAGGCUGGGCAUGAGGGACACCUAGAGGUGUGGGCAGACAUGUAUAUGAUAAAAGGCCUUUGAUUGAUCCCUCCUGCCAGGCCGAUUCCUAGCAAUAGAUCACCCCAUCAUCUGCAGUUGGCAGCCCUCAGCUGCUGGACUUCUGCCUCCAGCCCUGUCAGGUACAAGCGGUGCAUCCUGUCGCCUCACUGCACCAGCAGGCCUAGCAACCCGCUGAGCUGCUGCAUCCAUCCCACAAGGUGAGUCCUGCAGCUGCCGUAGUAAAGCCCAUGUGGAAGAGCCUGCCUGGCCAGGUUCACUAUGGUGAAUGUAGGUGGUGGAGCCCAUAGCAGAGGGGCAGGAUGCCCACUGUGGCAUCAGCCAUGGAAUUCUGCCUGGCCAUGCCAGUAACCAGACCCUCUCUCACUGGGCAUUCACGUGAUAGCAGGGUGUGUUUGGCAAUUGUGUGAGUGCCUCUGUCCCUGGUAGAUGCUACACUGCCAAGGAUCUGACUCCCCUGCCCCUGGGUAGGAAUGGGCGGCCAGGAGCGCUGGGCGCUCUCUGCGAACGAAUAUGGGGCAGGAAGCACCACAGCUGGGUUUUAUUCCCAGUCCUGCCACUGGGCCUCUCAUUAUCUCCCUGUGCCUGGAAGGUCUGUAAAACAGGCCACCUCCAAGGCCCAGGAGGGGUUAAUGAGGUGAUGCUCUGACAGCAGUCUAGAAGGGCUGAGUGGGAGUGAUAUGAGACGACCCCGAGAAGCUCCCUCAUGGACCUUGUGCCAUGGAACAAAUUAAGGUAUUGGGUAAGUCCACAGGUCCUCUAACCAGGAGUACAAUAUCCAGUUGGUUGGCUAAAAUGUCUGAUAUACCUGGGACAACAGGAACAGAUGUCUCAACCAUGGUUGCAAAAGAACUAAAUAACCCUUGCAUGUUUGAGUUAGAGGAAUCUAAAAGGUUAGAAGAUUCCUGAAGCCAGGUUCAGCAGUUGCUCCAGUAGUAACUGGAAUUUUGAUUUAGGGAGAAGGCUCAGCUUGAGAACUCCACAUUACAAGAGAAAGGUUUAAAGGUUGAGCUGAAGAUUAAAAAGCUGUAAUGCACUUGUGAUAAGCAAUGGCUUGAAAUAUUAAGGGAGCAAGAUUGCUGUUUAAGGAAAAUGGCCACAAAGGCUGCAAGCAGUAAAUGUGGUUCUGAACUCUCAGCACCAGCAGACUUUGGCUAACCAUGCAUAUUGCCAACAGGAAGCAGCUUGCUUAUAGGAAGAGCUGCAGGCUAUGAAGGUAGUAAACAGUGCAGCUCAGGGAAGCAGUGCUGUAGUGAGCAUUAAGAAAGUUGUGUUCAGAAAAUUGGAGGAAAAGAACAGGGUUAGCUCUUGUACAAGUUCAGAAAACUUUUUCUGGACUUCCCUAUGGAAGUAAUAUCAAUAACCUGAAAAGAAGCGAAGUUUUUCUUCCCAGGAGGGGAUUCUGUAGAGAAACAAUGGGUAAAAGAAAAACCAGAGUCAUGUAUGACUUGGAAAUUAGUGCAUGGAAAUCCCGAGUUGACUUGGGAUGGGAAGGUACCAUAGAGUGUGAUGUAACACAAUCAGAAGGAACGUUAGUGUCACAAUUUGUUUUAACAAUGAAAACGGCAGUAAUGUUUAAUAAUUCAUAUACUGCUUUAAACAGUCCUAGGAAAAGUUGUAGGUAAAAUACAGAAAGGAUGGCCACCCCCAAAGAAAAAAACUCAUGGUGCAUUGCUGAUAACUUUCCCCAACAAUGGGCCACAAGAAAAAGAAGCAGCAGCAAAAUAAACAAAAUAAAGGGGAACCAAAGAAAAAAGAGGGCAAAGAUAAAAAUCUUGCCCCUUGUGAAAAGAAGAGAAUUUCUGAUCCGGGUAGAAAUUGGCUUUGGAGAAAAUUGCUACAGUAUGAGCCUCUGGAUCAGAUUGAUAGGCUAUCCACUGUAGAAUUGCUUCCGAGAUUGGCAAGUCAUGAGCAAACCUAUGGCAACCGCAUGCUCCAAAGAGCAAGUACAGGCGGCGCUCUGCCUCCCUAGCUCCCCAUUGUCAGCAAACGAUCAUGCUGACCUAGUGGUACAUUUAAAAUGGGAUGAAUGGGGAAGACCCACAGUAUAUGUGGUGAUUAAUAGCAGAACAUUCAAACAAAAUAUGUUAGUAGACACAAGUGCCACUUUUGGUACGGGUAAAAAGAAUUUAUUUGGACCACCAGUAGCAAUAAAAAGAUUGCAAGGAUUUAAUGAAACAGAAAGUAAAGUGCCAUUUAGCUAGCCAAUGUUUUUGAUUAGGAACAAAUCAAGGAAUAGGACAAUUUGGCCUGAUAAAUUUGGAUGGCAAUGGAAUAAUAGGAACAGAUACGUUGAAUAAUAGUAGCCAACUGGUCAUAGGCGCUGACUUUUCCUUUUUCCCCAUGGGUGCUCAACCCCCCUCCUCUGCCCUCAGCUCCACCCCUUCCAUGAAGUCCCACCCCUGCCUCUCCUCUUCCCACCUUGCCCCCAUUCCAACACCUUCCCCAAAAUCCCCGCCCCAACUCCUUCCCCUCUCUGCCCCUAUUCCAACUCCUUCCCCAAAUCCCCACCCCGCCUCCUCCCCUGAGCGUGCCACGUUCCCGCUCUUCCCCCUCCCUUCCUGAGCGUGCUAAUGCUGCCAAACAGCUGGGUGGGAAGUGCUGGGAUGUAGGCAGAGGAGUGGGGAAGUGGCGCACUCGGGGAGGGGGAGGGGAGCUUGGCUGCCAGUGGGUGCAGAGCACCCAAUAAUUUUCCCCGUGCGUGCUCCAGCCCUGGAGCACCCAUGGAGUCAGCACCUAUGCAACUAGUAUUAAUGGACAAUGUGAACGCUCAUAGGAGAAACCUUGAAAGAGCUCAGUAGAAUAGCAAGGCAGAUGAACAGACUGAGAAAGGAACCAAGGAGGGGAUAGUAUGGCAGCCACAAUUCCGAUCCACCCCAAUAGCAAAAACAGAAAGAACAAAUUGAUUUAGUAGUGCUACAGAACAGGGAUCCUGAAAUAAAGAAAUUGGGAACAACAUAAAAAUAGCAGUGAUGAAAGAUUUGGCAGAAUGAAACAGGAUUAGAGUUAGCUACCAAAACAGAAAAUGACAUGUUUGUAUGGGUUGUGCCAACAGAAGUUAGAUCUGAAAUUACAGCCUUAGUUCAUGAUAAUGGACAUUUAAUGAUAGAUAAAACUCUUACUUGGCCACAUCCUGUAGCUUACUAUCAAAACAGAUGUGGAAGAAUAUGUAAACAACUGCCUACCCUGUGCUGCCAAUAAUGCAGAUAACAAGAUAAUAAAAGGGCCAUUGGGACAUCAAAGAAUAGAAGGCCCAUGGCUCAGGUUACAGAUUGAUUAUAUUGGUCUGCUUCAAAAACUGCAAGAGGAAAAUAGUAUUGCCUGGUAAUAUGGGAUCUUUUUAUAAAAUGGGCAGGAGAGACCCCCAACUGAUGUCAGUAUAGACAGGGAGAGAAUUUGACGGGUUUGUUAUGUGGAUACUGGAUCCAUAUGUUCCAUCUUGUUUACCACUGGAAAUCCCAUAGAAUUUAUACCAUAUAUUUCAUCUGAUGAAAAAGUGAUUCGAGGCAUUCACAGAAUAGAGGGCUCAAUCCCAUUAAGCAUCCCUGUAAUGGUGGAAACAGGAAACAGAAGAAUGGCAGGAAUUAGAGUGGUACUCAUGGAAAUAGGACUAAUCGGUUUUGCAAUAAUAGGAAGGGAUAUUCUUACACAAAUGCAAUCCACAGUUGAUUUUGUCAACAGAGUUAUAUGGACCAUAAAUUGAAAAAUAAUUGAAACCAACUUUUAACAGGAAUCCUUGCUAACAAAGUAAAAAGAGAUCUGCUAAACAGAGCUCUGGGAGGGGCAGGAACAGGUCUUGGAGUGUUAAUUAAAUGCAGUAGGACAGUACUAGGAGCUUUGUCUAACCCCCUUAAAAUAACUUUAAAUGAGAUAAGCACUAGCCAUUAGCUAGUUUGCUCCCUGGAUGGGAGAAGCUACAAGAAGUGGAUCACUUAGCAGUAUUACAAACAGUGGUGGUAUUACAGAGCAAUGUAUCUAUGGCAUUAGCUUGUACACAAACACAAACAUGGACUAAUGAUGUGGUAAAGGACAUCAUAAGGGAUGGAAUGAGUGGGAUUUUGCAUUUAGAAAUAAGAAUCAUUGUGUAGAAGUAUGCUACUAUCUCUGAACAAAAAUUGUACUUGGUGAAAAAUGAUAAAUUUUACACAUGAUGUACAAUUAAAUCAAAUUACCACCUAUAUAGUGAUUUUGUCUGAUGCUCAGAUAGAAUGGAUUUUGGCAUUAGGAUUAAACAUUAAUGACAGUUUAAUGCAGCCAGUGGAACAUAAAUUGUGGGGCAUGAAACAAACCUUUGUGUGGAAAACUCGAAUUUGAAGCCUGCAUGGAAGAGUGUGGGUAUUUGAUAUGUUUGCAGUUAUGAUGCUAUACAACCAUAUGAUAUAUGUUUAAGUUCAGAAAAGAGAAGAUGUCAUUACCAACUAGAUCCUUUUCCACUUAAUGGAUCUGUAGUUGUGUAUAUAGGAAAUAAAUGUGUAUGUACUGGAAGUUGGUGUAACUGGUUUGUUUAUCAUAACACAUGAUCCUCAGGAAAACCAAUGUCUAUUUAAUAUAACUACUAUAAUAGGAUGUGAUUUUAAUUUUUCAUUGCCUGAAAGAAAAAGUGAAGACAUUUAAAGAUCAGUUUCAGAUAGAUAGCAAGAUUAACCCAAUACCAUUGGGAAUGAACAUAAGUUUAGUUAGGCAGCUAUUAAGGCAUUCUGACUUACAAAAACAAUUACAGAAAGCUCAGGAAAGUACACAAAAAGUCAUGAUCAUUGCACACCACUCUAGUGAUGAACAAGUUAUGGAACAAAUACAAAAAGAUACUAAACAUAGGUAGUGGAAGUAUUUUUGAAAUGGUCUCCGACAGCAACAGGAUUCUUUAAUACUAUUCUACAUUCUUUAGUAAUAAUUUUGGUGUUUCAGGUUUUGGUGGCAAUUACACUUAUCAUUUUGGUGUGCUUGCCCAAAGAGAAAUUUAAGCAGCUGCAGCAUAUACUGUCCACAAGUCUUAAAAGAGCUAUAAUAGUGCACAAGGUGUGCAGCCUUAGUGAGGCAGAAUCAGGGAUGACAAGAUAUUGUGCCAGCAAGAAGAAAUAUCUGCUUGGUCUCAUAGAGAGCCUUGAGCUAAUGCUGGACAAAACUGAACAUCCACUGAACUCACUAAUUAGGUGUUGGAUUGAUAAACCAGUAUAUCACGCAAUAAGGAGGGGACCGAUGCAAGAGAUUUUUGGCUGCCCUAUUGUGUGGGAAAUACAGCACCAGAAGCACUGUCCAGAACUAAAGGUACUGAUCUGUUACCAUUAGUUGAAGCAGGGAGAAACUGAGAUUUGGGCUUGUUUGAAUUAGUGAAAUUGGAGUGGUGAUAAUCAAACAUAAUGUUAAGGUACAUAUACAUGUAUAAUUUGUUUAAUAAUCAUGAGGAUUUAAAUAGUUAUUAAAGAUGGUUUUAAGCGGUUAUGGCUAGGGAAAACAAGAUGGCAGCUGCAAGAAAUCAAAGCUGGGAAAACCAAACUGGAGGCCUUAAAUGAUCUGGCCAAGGGCAAGCAGGCAAGUUGGGGGUGAAAUAAAGGUCACUCCAAAAACCUGAAGAGAGAGGUCAGUUAGGUAGAACAUAGGUCUUCAAACAGGUCCAGCCUUAAUAGUGCAGGUUUUCAGUUGGGUCCAGCUUUGAUUGACAGGUGAAGGCCUUGAAGCUGAUUGGCUGAUAAUGAUUGGAAUUUAAAAGAGAACCAAUCAGGAUAAGCUAAAAUGUGUAUAUAAAGCAGAGAGCUGACAGGCUUAGUUAGUUUGUCUGCCUCAGUGUGAGUGGAAGGAGUUGGAAUGAGUGGGAGAAGCAAAAGAAAAAGAAAAGCAACUAAAAGAGUUGAAAUCAUAAGAAGACAGCAGAAGCAAAGUAGCAGUGACAACAUUAGGUCUGACAGAUCAGAAGGACCUAGAGUAGAGGGAAGGGAAACCAACAGGAAAGUAAGCCCAUAAUAAGAAAUAAACUGAGUGAAUAGGUGUAUAUGGGAUAAUAAAGCUGGAUAUUUGUGCAUAUGUUGAUUGUUUAAUGUUUAAGAACUUGCUGUCAGCAUCCUAUAUGUGAUUAGCCACUGCAUAUAGAAUGUAACCACUUAAAACUAUUUUCCAUUUGUAGGAUAUUGCAAUUUUGAGUACUUUAAUGUACAUCUGUGCUAAUAGAAUUCUAUGCUUUUGUUAAGAAAAUAUGAAUUUAUUUCUUUUAAUAUAUUUUAAUUUGCUGUUUUCUUAAUAUGUUUUAGAUUUACUUUUUUAGGAAAUAUUGUGUUAAAUAAAGAUUCUUUUUGUUGUUGAAGGA